UACGAAGGGGGCUAGCGUUGCUCGGAAUCACUGGGCGUAAAGCGCACGUAGGUGGCUUUUUAAGUCAGGGGUGAAAUCCUGGAGCUCAACUCCAGAACUGCCUUUGAUACUGAGAAGCUUGAGUCCGGGAGAGGUGAGUGGAACUGCGAGUGUAGAGGUGAAAUUCGUAGAUAUUCGCAAGAACACCAGUGGCGAAGGCGGCUCACUGGCCCGGUACUGACGCUGAGGAGCGAAAGUGUGGGGAGCGAACAGG
rnacentral:rRNA from 1 species